rnacentral:sRNA from 1 species
AAAAAAAAGGAAAAAAAAAAGAAGGUAAAAAU